UGCCCGGUAGAGUAAUUGGCAACUCAGGGGACUUUGGAUCCCCUGUUGGAGGUUCGAGUCCUCCCCGGGCAGCUA
rnacentral:tRNA from 3 species